rnacentral:rRNA from 1 species
GACGAACGCUGGCGGCGUGCCUAAUACAUGCAAGUAGAACGCACAGUUUAUACCGUAGCUUGCUACACCAUAGACUGUGAGUUGCGAACGGGUGAGUAACGCGUAGGUAACCUGCCUGGUAGCGGGGGAUAACUAUUGGAAACGAUAGCUAAUACCGCAUAAUAUUAAUUAUUGCAUGAUAAUUAAUUGAAAGGUGCAAUUGCACCACUACCAGAUGGACCUGCGUUGUAUUAGCUAGUAGGUGAGGUAACGGCUCACCUAGGCGACGAUACAUAGCCGACCUGAGAGGGUGAUCGGCCGCACUGGGACUGAGACACGGCCCAGACUCCUACGGGAGGCAGCAGUAGGGAAUCUUCGGCAAUGGACGAAAGUCUGACCGAGCAACGCCGCGUGAGUGAAGAAGGUUUUCGGAUCGUAAAGCUCUGUUGUAAGAGAAGAACGGGUGUGAGAGUGGAAAGUUCACACUGUGACGGUAGCUUACCAGAAAGGGACGGCUAACUACGUG